UCGUUAAGAGUGUAUGGUGGAUGCCUUGACAUAAAUAAACGAUGAAGGACGUAGCAGCCUGCGAUAAGCCUCGGUAAGGUGGCAAGCAACCUUUGACCCGUGGAUUUCCGAAUGGGGGAACCUGCUCUGUUGAAGACAGAGCGUCCCAUGUCUGAACACAUAGGACAUGUGAGACGAUUACCCGGUGAAUUGAAACAUCUUAGUAGCCGGAGGAAAAGAAAACAAAUCCAUCUUUGAUGGACCAUUCCCUGAGUAGUGGCGAGCGAAAGGGGAUCAGCCCAAACCAUUUUAACCGCGAUAUUGAUUCACUUUUAGUGAUGAGGUAUCAGAAGGGUCUAGGCCCAUAUGUUUUAGUGGUGUUGUAAGAUUAUUACAUUCACAUCCUAGAAAAGUGAGCUAAGGUAUAGUAAAUAUAAUUUUUAAUCGAAUUGAGCUGGAAAGCUCAGCCAGAGAAGGUGAUAGCCCUGUAGCGUGAAAGAAAUUAUAGCCUUAGUGUGAUAGUUCUUGAGUACCGCGGGACUCGUGAAACCCCGUGGGAAUCUGGGACGACUAUGUCCCAAGGCUAAAUAUUAUUUAUGAUCGAUAGCGAAUAGUACCGUGAGGGAAAGGUGAAAAGCAUCCCGUAGAGGGAGGUGAAAUAGUACCUGAAACCAUAUACUUACAAGGAAUCGGAGCUCGAGUUUACUCGGGUGACGGUGUGCCUAUUGAAGAAUGAGCCAACGAGUUAGUUCUAUGUGGCUUGACUAAGUGCCGUUUGGCAUGGAGUCGUAGUGAAAGCGAGGGUUAAUAGCCCGUAUCCACUUAUUUUGUAGGGAUAUCUACUCUGAUAUUUCUGCAAGAUAAUGUGGAAUGUCGCAUGGACUAGACCCGAAACCGAGUGAUCUAGCCAUGGCCAGGUUGAAGUCUUGAGAAAUCAAGAUGGAGGACCGAACCCACAAGUCGUGCAAUACUUGGGGAUGAGCUGUGGUUAGCGGAGAAAUUCCAAUCGAACUCGGCGAUAGCUGGUUCUCCUCGAAAUAGCUUUAGGGCUAGCGUUAGAUGCUGACUACUGGGGGUAGAGCACUGAAUGAGGCUGGGGCCGCAAGGUACCCUCCUUAACCAAACUCCGAAUACCAGUAGGUGUAAUCUAGCAGUUAGACUAUGGGGGCUAAGCUCCAUUAGUCGAAAGGGAAACAGCCCAGACCGCAAUCUAAGGUCCCUAAAUAUAUACUAAGUGUAAAAGGUGGUGUCGCGACUGCGACAAUUAGGAGGUUGGCUUAGAAGCAGCCAUCCUUUAAAGAUAGCGUAAUAGCUCACUAAUCUAGUUGUCUCGCGCCGAAAAUUUAUCGGGGCUAAGUAUAUUACCGAAGAUGCGGAUUCACAGUUUACUGUGACUGGUAGAGGAGCGUUCUAUACGUGUUGAAGUCAGGUCGUGAGGCCUGGUGGAAUGUAUGGAAGUGAGAAUGUUGGCAUGAGUAGCAAAAAGGCGGGUGAGAACCCCGCCCACCGCAAACCUAAGGGUUCCUGGGCAACGCAAAUCGUCCCAGGGUUAGUCGGUCCUAAGAUGAGGCGUAUGUAGUGUGCGCGUAAUCGAUGGAUGAGCUGGUUAAUAUUCCAGCACUACUAUAAUUUUCCGAUGGGGGGACGCGGGUAUGAUUUUUAAGCGUGUUUAUGGUAUGCACGUUGCUUGCUAAGCCUUGUGAUAUAGGCAAAUCCGUAUCACACAAGAGGCGAGGUCGGCUGAAGAUGAAGCUUUUGUGGAUUCAACUUAAGAUGAUUACCUGUCAAGAAAAACCUCUAGGGUUAAGAUUAUAGUAACCGUACCGCAAACCGACACAGGUAGGUGAGGCGAGUAGCCUCAGGUGAACGAGAGAACCUUCGUUAAGGAACUAGGCAAAAUAGCGGCCGUAAUUUCGAGAUAAGGCCCGCCCCCGUUUAAUACCGGGGGCCACAGCUAAAGACGCUCUGGCGACUGUUUAUCAAAAACACAGCUCUCUGCUAACUCGAAAGAGGAUGUAUAGGGGGUGACGCCUGGCCAGUGUCCGAACGUUAAGGGGAGGGGUUAGACUUUUAGUCGAAGCCUCGAACUGAAGCGCGGAUGAACGCCGGCCGUAACUAUAACGGUCCUAAGGUACCGAAAUUCCUUGUCGGGUAAGUUCCGACCUGCAGGAAUGGCGUAACGACUGGAGCACUGUCUCAACGAAGGACUCGGCGAAAUUGCAAGACGAGUAAAGAUGCUCGUUAACCAUAGUCGGACGAAAAGACCCCGUGAAGCUUUACUAUAGCUUGACAUUGGGUUAUGACUAUGCAUGUUCAGUAUAGGUGGGAGCCGCAAGGCACCAGUGAGAUACCACCCUUGUAUAUUUGUAACCCUAACCUUAGACCUUGAAUCAGGUCAAGGGACAGUGUCUGGUGGGUAGUUUGUCUGGGGCGGAUGCCUCCUAAAGAGUAACGGAGGCGUUUACAAAGGUUGGCUAUCCCGGAAUGGAAACCCGGGAGAUAGUGUAAAGGCAUAAGCCAGCUUUACUGCAAGACCUACAAGUCGAGCAGUUGCGAAAGCAGAACUUAGUGAUCCGACCGUCCAAUAUAGGAUGGCGGAAGCUCAUCGGAUAAAAGUUACUCCGGGGAUAACAGGCUAGUCGCGCCCAAGCGUCCACAGCGACGGCGCGGUUCGGCACCUCGAUGUCGGCUCGUCUCAUCCUGGGGGUGAAG
rnacentral:rRNA from 1 species